CCUCAGCGAUGCUUCAGGCACGUACUAGGGCAGCCUGGGCAGGGCUGGUCACUGUGGUCUCAUGAGGUGUGAACUUGACCCCGGGCUUCUUUCCUGGGAUGCCGGCUAAGGACACAAGUUCCGUGUUUGCCCUGGCUUGUAGCCCGGCGGGGCCUCCGUCAUCCCCUGGGGAAUGCCUCGGCCUGCAAGACCGCAUACCGCAUUGGAACAGGGAAACCACCUACUUCAGCACCUCCCUCAGCAAGGUGGCAGGUCCCAACAAGCCUUGCACCAUGAGGAAGUGGCAGUGGCAUUCGGGAUAUGGCUCCCUGGCCAGCUUGUGAAGUUCAAGGGGCUUGUUACUUCUUAGAGCUCACAGUCCCUCCCGGGUCCAGCACACCUGAGGGCUGACCUCCCUCUUGAUUAGUGCAGGGGAAAAGCACUUUAAAAACCUGUGUCAUGCGUAACUUGCACAUCUUCUGAUUCUGACCUGAAACUGCAUCCCAGGUCGGCACAGACGCAACGCAGUCUCCUCCCACCUCCGACAGUGCGGUGUCCUGAAUGGAGAACCCCAGCACCCAGAAGCAUCCACUGAAGGACGUACUUCUUUGAUAGUGCCUCCACGCAUGCAGAUGACGUGGAGAGCUCCGCGCGGCACAGGGCAGGAAGCUGGUGUGCACUCUCAUGGAUCCGAAGCCAACGCACGCCUCUCAACUGAGGACUCUGCCCCUCUGGCAUUCCUCCAGCCACCAGCCCUGGGGGCCAGGAGCCACCGAGUGGGUCACACAGGCUUAGAGGGCAACGAGGGCAGGAGCUCACCCUGGCGGUCCCCAUGCAGACAAGAGGGUCACUGGCUUCCUUGCUUUGCUCUUCCUGGACAUCUUCCUCGACAUUCAUCUUUCCAUCCUACCAAGAGCGUGGAAACCACAGGGCAUGAGGACAGGCGGAGACAACGCUGGACCAUCUCACAGCCACAUCAAGAGGCUGCCCACAUCAGUGCUUUCUACGUGGCUGCAAGGAACACAAACCUGUGUGCUCCAUUUGCCCACUGGCACUAGGCCUCCUGCCCACCACCCGCUUCUAGGCUAUUCGAGCCGCAGGAGCUACAGGCUGCUAGAGAACCCUGCGGCAGGACGCUGGGCGCGGUUCAGCUUUUGCCAGGGAGCAGCAUAGGACUGGGAUUUGGAAGGUGUACAGUGGCUGUGGGCUUUAGCACGAGGAGUGUCUACAGCACCUUCUGCUCCUCCAGAAAUAAGGAAACUGAGGCACAGCUAUAAAGCAAUGUCCUGAGACUGGCACCUGGGGGCUGCCCUCUUCCUGCCAGACUGAGUGCCUCAGAGCGCUACAACUGACCAGAGGGGAGAAGCCAACUGAGACAGCCUGUUUACUUCUAAGGGACUAACCCACAUGAAAAGACCCAGGCCUCCUGCGCCGGCCUCAGGGCCCCUACACGUGUUAUCAAGCUUGGAGUCAACUGGACGACCUGCUGUCCCUCAGACAGCUGUGAGUGCCACACUUCACCAUACCGGGACAAUGUGCCUUUGCAUGUGUGUCCUCUGCCCACCCUGGGCCCAUGAACAGCUCACUCCCCUUGCAAAACUUGACUGUAACUCCCUCUAGAAGAAUUUUUGGAC
rnacentral:antisense_RNA from 1 species